rnacentral:lncRNA from 1 species
CCAGCACGCGUUUGCUAGGAUGCCAUCCCCUGCCUCCUCCUGUCAGGACCAAAGCCCCUGAAAGUUAGGAUGGGGCUGCAUCCGGGUGCCUACAAGCACACCUGGCACACAGUGGGCACCAGCUCAGCAUCUGCUAUGAGACUGGCAGCCUCUCCCUGGCCAGAUGAAGGGACUGGAGUGGGAUUCACUGUCUGGGGUGCUGCAGGGGCUGGCCAGGCCUAGGAGGGGGCCGGUGGCGAGAGGGAGGGAGUGCUAGAGGGAAGGUGGGAGGGCUCCAGAGGGAAGGUGGGUGUGUUGGAAGGUGGGAGGGCUCCAGGAGUCAGGGCUGUGUCAGUGUGCAGUGUUCUGCCAUGGAGGCUCCCACGGAUGUCACAGGCCGUUUCGGCGGCAUGGGGCUUCUACCCGUCCUCACCUUUGCCACACGAAGGUAAACCUUCCCGGGGCCCUGCAAGCAUGGCCGCACCCACCUGGAUCAGAGCGGCCACUCCUGCCACCCAGACCAUUUUGGGAAAGCAGGAAAGGGGCUGGCCUGUCCUGGAAGGGGCAAUCCCAGGUGUGUCUGAGGAGCCAGGCUGGUGAGCAAGGCCCGUGCUAAGCAGAGAGGAUGCAUUUCAUCCCACCUUGGUGUUUAUAACGCGGGGUGCAGAGCCACGGGACAGCCUGCCCCCCAGCCGGGGCCGUGCUGUGGACGUCACGUGGCCCUGGAGGGCCUGAGCCCCCCUGCCGCCUCGUCCCGUCAGGCGCCUUGUCUUAUUAUCGGGUGUGUGAGGUGACAUUUAUCUUUGUAAACGUUCACUGUGACAUGACCCACCAGGAGCCCCUCACACGCCAUGUGUUCA